rnacentral:rRNA from 1 species
AAAAUUAGAGUGUUCAAAGCAGGCAGAUCCAAUUUUCUGCCACCGAAUACAUUAGCAUGGGAUAAUGGAAUAGGACCCUGUCCUCCUAUUUUCAGUUGGUUUUGGCAGCGCGAGGACUAGGGUAAUGAUUAAUAGGGAUAGUUGGGGGCAUUAAUAUUUAAUUGUCAGAGGUGAAAUUCUUGGAUUUAUGAAAGAUUAACUUCUGCGAAAGCAUCUGCCAAGGAUGUUUUCAUUAAUCAAGAACGAAAGUUAGGGGAUCGAAGACGAUCAGAUACCGUCGUAGUCUUAACCAUAAACGAUGCCGACCAGCGAUUAGGAGACGUUGAAUACAAAACACCACCAUCGGUGCGGUCGUCCUUGGCGUCUCGGUUUCACGGCCGGGGCGCGGGGGUGGCUUAGCCCGGUGGCACCGGUGAA